GUUUAGCCCUGAUUGAAGUGGUAUCCUUUUAUGAAGUAUGAAUAAAAGAUAUAACGGAAAGCAGGAAAUAGC
rnacentral:sRNA from 1 species